GAUGAACGCUGGCGGCGUGCCUAAUACAUGCAAGUAGAACGCUGAAGCUUGGUGCUUGCACCGAGCGGAUGAGUUGCGAACGGGUGAGUAACGCGUAGGUAACCUGCCUCUUAGCGGGGGAUAACUAUUGGAAACGAUAGCUAAUACCGCAUAAAAGUCGAUAUCGCAUGAUAUUGAUUUGAAAGGUGCAAAUGCAUCACUAAGAGAUGGACCUGCGUUGUAUUAGCUAGUUGGUGAGGUAACGGCUCACCAAGGCGACGAUACAUAGCCGACCUGAGAGGGUGAUCGGCCACACUGGGACUGAGACACGGCCCAGACUCCUACGGGAGGCAGCAGUAGGGAAUCUUCGGCAAUGGGGGCAACCCUGACCGAGCAACGCCGCGUGAGUGAAGAAGGUUUUCGGAUCUUAAAGCUCUGUUGUAAGAGAAGAACGAGUGUGAGAGUGGAAAGUUCACACUGUGACGGUAACUUACCAGAAAGGGACGGCUAACUACGU
rnacentral:rRNA from 1 species